CCUACGGGGGGCUGCAGUGGGGAAUAUUGCACAAUGGGGAAAACCUGGUGCCACAACGCCGCCUGGAGGGUGAAAGGCUUCGGGGCGGAAAAGCCCUUCCCUAGGGGAAGAUACUGACGGUACCUUUGGGGGGAGCCCCGGCUUAACUCCGUGCCAGAAGCCGCGGUAAUACGUAGGGGGCUAGCGUUAUCCGGAAUUACUGGGCGUAAAGGGUGCGUAGGCGGCCCUUCAAGUCAGAGGUGAAAGGCUACGGCUCAACCGUAGUAAGCCUUUGAAACUGUAGGGCUUGAGUGCAGGAGAGGAGAGUGGAAUUCCCAGUGUAGCGGUGAAAUGCGUAGAUAUUGGGAGGAACACCAGUUGCGAAGGCGGCUCUCUGGACUGUAACUGACGCUGAGGCACGAAAGCGUGGGGAGCGAACAGGAUUAGAUACCCGUGUAGUC
rnacentral:rRNA from 1 species